GGAUGCUGGGGGUCCCAUUUGGGUCUGGGGUCCCAGUUUGGGGUCUGGGGUCCCAGUUUGGGUCUGGGGUCCCAUUUGGGAUCUGGGGUCCCAGUUUGGGUCUGUGGUCCCAUUUGGGUCUGUGGUCCCAUUUGGGUCUGGGGUCCCAGUUUGGGUCUGGGGUCUCUCAGUGGGUCCCAUUUGGGUCUGGGGUCCCAGUUUGGGGUCUGGGUUCCCAGUUUGGGGUCCCAUUUGGGUCUGGGGUCUCACUGUACCCCGUUUCCCCCCCAGCUGGUUCGGGGUACCAACGUUUUUGGGGUCCCAGUUUGGGUCUGGGGUCCCAGUUUGGGUCUGGGGUCCCAGUUUGGGGUCUGGGGUCCCAUUUGGGUCUGGGGUCCCAGUUUGGGGUCCCAGUUUGGGGUCUGGGGUCCCAGUUUGGGGUCCCAGUUUGGGGUCUGGGGUCCCAGUUUGGGGUCUGGGGUCCCAUUUGGGUCUGGGGUCCCAGUUUGGGGUCUGGGGUCCCAUUUGGGUCUGGGGUCUCUCAGUGGGUCCCAUUUGGGUCUGGGGUCUCACUGUACCCCGUUCCCCCCAGCUGGUUAAGGGUACCAACGUUUUUGGGGUCCCAGUUUGGGGUCUGUGGUCCCAUUUGGGUCUGGGGUCUCUCAGUGGGUCCCAUUUGGGUCUGGGGUCUCUAUUUGGGUCUGGGGUCUCUCAGUGGGUCCCAUUUGGGUCUGGGGUCUCUAUUUGGGUCUGGGGUCUCACUGUACCCCGUUCCCCCCAGCUGGUUCGGGGUACCAAUGUUUUUGGGGUGCUCCGCGCCCCCCGCUCCCCCAGCACCGAGGCUCUGCUGCUGCUCGUGCCCUGCUCCGAGGGCAGCACCAACAACCAGGCCGUGGGGCUACUGCUGGCCCUGGCGGGCUACUGCAGGGGUCAGAUUUACUGGUCCAUACCAGUCCAUACUGGU
ensembl:lncRNA